ACGUCAUUAUAGCCAAGCACUCGUUUCGGGUCUUGAAAUGGAUGUUCGACAAUGUCCUAACUAUCAUACUUGUAGGAUAGAACUGAGCGAAGGAGAAGAAAACAAGAAAGUAUAUGCAUAGAACCAGCCUACAUAAUUUUUCUAAAAAUCUAAUGGGAAACUACUGCCAGAGAGGUAAGGUAAGCAGGGUUUAAACUGUAGUAAUGGCCCGUCAACCUAACCCUCUUAGGCAACAUAGGAAACAGACUUAGGAACGGUUUAAAACCUGCAAAAAUAACCUAAAACUGGAGCCUCGAUAUAAUAAAGUAAAGAGGAGGGAACUGACAGUGAGAGGAAAAGUAUAUGAUGAAAUAUUAAAACACAAAUAUAGAUUGGACAAAACUAGAAGAAAAUAUUUAAAAUAAACUAUAUUUUUCUAGAAUAGGAAAAAGUUCAGUGAACUGGUUGUCCGAAAUAAUAGCUGAUCAUAGAUGUCUAGCCUGAAGUUUCAAUGUAAAUAAUGUCAAUGUAUUCAAACACGUGUAGGUGUUUAGUAUAUUUACUAUUGGCCUCUAAGUUGACAAGGAAAGGAGAUAGGUUUUUUUUUGUGGACACAAACAGUGGAAUAUUGGUGACUGAAAAGUAAAUUAUCGCGACCGAUUUUACUUUUUAUUUUUUUAGUUUUCGUUUAUAUAUUCUAAGAAUUCGGUUUUGAAACAUCAUUUUCGACCUCAGUUUUAAUAUAUUAUCCUUGUCUUCAGUUUGUUGUGUUUUAACACUUCCUCUGAUUCUAUAAACUAAACAAUACUGAGUAGGUGGAAAGGAAAACAUUGAGAAUGUAAACUGUUCAUACGCAGUGGUGGGAAUUGUUACUUUGGAAUCCAGAACUACAACGACGGCGAUAACUCCACCACUACUACUAUCAGUUGAGUAACAACAAUAAUAGAUCGAGACGACGGCAAGACGAACUACUAACCAAGCACUAGAAUCAUUUUAAUACUGUAUUUCAUCGUUCUAGAUGUUAUACCUUUCGUUUAGAACGCUGAACGGGAAUACGUAAAGUGGAAACGAAAUGAGACUAUUUCACUUAAUUCAAGUCCAUGUGUAAUGUGUAUGUGUACAUAAAAACACACAAUCCAGUCUACAGAGGAACACAAACAAGCACUGACAUAUUCCUGGCGUUUAUCAAUUACCAUAUUUAGGUUUAAGAACGACAAAACAUCCUCCAAAAUUACUUAUACAACUAAAAUCACUCAGAAAAAUGGGGGACGAGGACAACGAACUGGACGGGAAAUUACUACAACAGUUCAGCUCUAUGGGGACGACUGAUAAAGAGGUGCUUAUUGCCGAAUUCCAGAAACUACUGGGUGACCAGUUAAAUGCUGCAGGCUGUGCUUUCUUCCUUGAUAUGAACAAUUGGAAUUUGCAAGCUGCAAUUUGUUCAUAUUAUGAUUUUGAACAACCUAGUAUUCGCCUACCGUCCAUGUCUUUUGUCAAAGAUGUCACUGUUGGAGAAGGAGAGUCAGUUCCACCAAAUACUAAAUUCACUAAAACUUGGCGAUUGCAAAAUUCAGGAGAUGAUAGCUGGCCACCAGGCUGCUGCUUGAAGUUUUGUUAUGGAGACCAGAUGACUCAUAUAGACAGAGUUAUGUCAGUAAGUCUUAGUCCUGGUCAAGUGACUGAUAUAAGUAUAGAUAUGGUCAGUCCUUCUAAAACAGGCAUCUACCAAGGACAGUGGCGAAUGAUAACACCAUCAGGUUGUUAUUUUGGAGAAGUAAUUUGGGUUAUAAUUAAUGUAGAUGAAGCUGGGUUAUUAGCAGUUACUCAACAGAUGUCACGAUUUGAGUUUGGCAGGCCAUCAGCACAGAACCCUUCAAAUCCAUUUGAUGUCAAUUCCUCCAAAAUCAACCACUCGGAUUCUUCUGAACUAACUGGUGCUGUAGACACCAUACAUUCCCAGGGCGUAAACCAUUAUAACAACUCUGACCAAGUUGUAUUACAUCCAACUUCUAAUCAGAACCUCCCUCUUCAUUCAUUUAUAACUCCUGAGUCAUCACCUAAAUCCAGCAAUGUUGAAGAAGAAAACCAAGAGAUGAUGAUAUCCUAGCAGUACUACAUAGCUAUCAGUUGAAAUAACUGGUGGUAUCUAAAAACUGGAGUGAACUUAAUCUAAUGACUAACAAUGAGCUACAUAUGUAGAUAUGUACAUAUGUUCAUGCAUAACUUAUAGAAUAUCGUUUGAAUCUAAAAAUGGAUGACAUGUUGAUAAACAUCUAUCCAAUAAAUUAAAAAAAAAUAUAUUAACAUGCAGAAAAAAAUAGAGACAAAGAAAAGAGAACAUUUGAUUUCUUUACAGAAGAAAGCUUAAAAGGCAAAAUUUUGAAAUCAUUUUGGGUAGAAAGAGAUCAGGGUAUUAUGGGAUUUCAUUAGAAUAAUGAAUUCAGUCUUAAAUUUUUUAACAAAUCCUUUAAAAAAUAAAGGUAUGUUAAACAUCAAACUUACAAACGAGAGUAAAACUUUUUUCUUUGAUGUUGUUAAAACUUUUUACACACCACUUAAACAAAAGUCAGAUACAGGUAUAAGUAUUUUAAUAGCAAAUUGCUACCAAAUUUGGUUAAUUCUUUAUAGAUGGAGGUUUUCACUGAAUUCUUUUAAAUUUAUUGAUGCUGUCUUUGUUUAUGUAAACUUAGAUAUUUAUUAUUUAAAGAGUUCUUUUCAAAAGCAUUACAUUAUUUAACUUCUUGGGCAAUGGAGUUUGUGCAAUGAGCCUGAUUACAUUCUUUAGGAUGUGAUAUUUAACUGAUUGUUUUAUAUUUCUUCUUAGUUCAAUCCCAUAAGAAAUAAAUUUACCUUUGAUCUCAUACAUAUUGAUAAAAUAUAUAGCAGUAAUUAUACUGGGGUUCAGUGGCAAGACCAUUUUUUUUCUGUAGAGCUUUCUCUUAAAUUUAAGAUGGAAGCUUUAAAUCUUCCAUGUUUCUUUCAAAAUAAUUGGUUGUUUAUAACCAAGAAGAUCUUUUUAUUUUAAAAACACCCGGUUCUUGUUUUUGAUACAUUCUAUACAUUUAUUUACAACUUCACAUUAAGAAGGACUAGAACAAAAAUCCAUAAUAACAAUAAUGCUAUACUAUCUUCAUUCAAUAUAAUGUUGCUUAUCAUUAUUUAUUAAGAAAGGGAUAUAUGUGCUGCUACUGUUGUGUUCCUUUAAGGAUGCAGUUUGGAAGGGAUGUUGAGUACUAAUGGAAAUGCAACUUUGUAAUGGUUUCAAAUUUAUAAAUAAAUGCAGUUGUUGUCUCACUCAGUGCUAUUGCUGACACUGCCCUCAGCUUAACUUUACUUCUUGGUCUAUUGUAGAUGGUAAGAUAUAAAUUUGUUGUAGAGACAAGAGCCUUAAGGUGAAUACUCUGUAGUUUUUUUUUUUUCUUCUUGUUUCUGUAUUUAAAUCACUGCGGUGAAUGCAGCUUUACUUUCCUGUGGAUAAAAUGAGUACUAGAAAUGUUAUCAGAGAUAAAUUUUGGUAUACCUAUUGACUGCAGUUAUCAAAAGUGGAGCCUUCAUGUUUCCUUUGAGUAGAAGAAAGAAAUAAAAAAAUAGUAGUUAUUUAAAUGAUCUUUAUUAAAUGCAAAAAAAAAAAUAUAUUAAUUGCUUUUUGUAGAAAUGUGCUUGCAAAGCUUAAAUAAUUUAAAUUGUACUUUAGUAUUAAUUGCUUUGUUUUAACAAUAUAAUCAUGUAGUGAUGAAUUUAAUCACUUAAUAUGUUUGUCCCAAAGACAAGAGAUUGUUGUGUAAGGCUCACAAAUGUUACUUUUAUUUUUUACUUAAAUUUCUAUUGUUUUGUUAUAUAGUGUCAUUACUGACUUCUCUUUCUUACUAGAAACUCAACUUCUUUUAAUACAUUCCAGUUCUUCAUAAUUUUGUACAUAAAAAAGUAUUUGUUCAAAUACCAACAGAUGAACAUAUACCACUACUGUCCCAGCUAUCAUGUUCAAAUACUGUAAUCCUUAAUGGAUUCUAGUCAUUACCAUCAACUAUUCUGGCUUGAAGAGAUUACCUCUGAAUAUAUUUUUUAAUGAUUUACAUUAGAUUUUCUAUGCUGGUACAAGAUAAAUUUUCCAACAAUUUUAGUUGUGAAAUAUAUAGCUAACAUUUUUAUAGUUAAAUAUUCUAAAAAAUUAACUAUUCAGCCUUACAACUGAAUUAUGCUUGUGGGUAGGUAGUUUACAAUAUUCUCACAAGAGCUUGAAUUCGUGAAAUUUUCAUAAUAAUCAGGUGCCUGGUUACAUACUCAUGGUAUCGCUUUACUCUGAACUUUUGAAAUUUCCUUUCUUCAAGGGAAAUCUAUCUCAAAUUUUGCAUACAAUUGGUAGUGUGGCAUGCUACUCAAGGCACAUAAUACUCUGACCCUUUCAAUUAUUACCCAACUAUUUUCCCACUUUUAUCCUAAAUAAUGAAGGUAAGUACUAAUCAACAUCGUUUUAAAUAUCUUAAAUCACUUAAUUUCUUUAACACUUACCAUUUUAUUUUAUGGAAGCAAUGUAAUGCCCCAGUAAUUUGGUAAAGAUAAAUUUAUUAACCAUAGUAUUAGUGAAACCUUUAAAAAAUUCUUUUAUAUUUUAAAUGUUAUAUUUCUAACCAUUUAUUUCUUCAUGUGUUGGGGAUAUCCACCUGUUCUGUACUUGAACAAUGUUUGGUAGUCACAUGGCAUAUUAAAACUUUACCCUUUGCUAUUCUCUUCCCAUUAACAAUCUGCUUUCUGUCACUUCCAAUUCUUCUUUCAACAUGAAAAAAAAAAAGAUGCCUUUAAAGUGACAUUUACAAUCCAGGAUGAAUUCUCUUCAAGGAUUUUUCCUAAAAUAUUCAUUGACUCAAAAUUAUUUAAUACUUAUUUCCAUAAACUCUAAGCAUUUACCUCCUUAAAAGUUACAUUUUUCACCCAAGUAUAAUGGACGUCUUUAUAUCAGGGAAAGUAUCUCUUUCAGUUAUCAUUACUUUAGAUUAUUUGUAGAAAUAAAAUUAUUUCAUUUAA